rnacentral:rRNA from 1 species
AGGGGUAAACUAAAAAACCAAAAGGUCGAAGGGAAAAAUUCAUUCGCGUUUCGAAGUCGGCGUUGAGCGGUCUCGUGACGAAAUUCGUUUCGGCGUUUUUCGUCUCGGGCGUUUUUUCGAUCCGACGGCGAACGCGUGCACUUUUCUCCUGGUAGGACGUCGCGAUCCGUUGGGCGUCGGUCUAAGGCUUGCGGUGGAGCCCGUUUGUAACACGCGUAGAACGGACCCGCUCGUUCCGACCGACUCGCUCGACGGUAUAAGAAAGGUUUCGGGGCCGCUCUUAGGAGCGUUCGGGUCGUGGCANNCNNGUCAGACGCACGGGGGAUCGCGCCUAGUGCCGGUUCCGUUCCUGAUUACUGUUUGUCGCGAAUUUNUCGAACAGUCCUCGUUACCGAUCUGCGGCGCUAUAGCUUUGGGUACUUUCAGGACCCGUCUUGAAACACGGACCAAGGAGUCUAGCAUGUGCGCGAGUCAUUGGGAUUCACUAAACCUAAAGGCGCAAUGAAAGUAAAGGUCUUCCUUGCGGAGACCGAGGGAAGACGAGCGGUUCGUUUCGGCGUCCGCUUCGCACUCCCGGGGCGUCUCGUUCUCAUCGCGAGAAGAGGCGCACCAAGAGCGUACACGCUGGGACCCGAAAGAUGGUGAACUAUGCCUGGUCAGGACGAAGUCAGGGGAAACCCUGAUGGAGGUCCGUAGCGAUUCUGACGUGCAAAUCGAUCGUCGGAACUGGGUAUACGGGCGAAAGACUAAUCGAACCNUCUGUUANCUGGU